GGCCCAAAUUUGAAGUAGAGUAGAUCAGAAGGAUAAUCUGACCCUGCUGAACUAGUAUACUUCGAGUUUGUGCAC
rnacentral:pre_miRNA from 1 species